GGAAUAUUGGACAAUGGGGGCAACCCUGAUCCAGCAAUGCCGCGUGAGUGAUGAAGGCCUUAGGGUUGUAAAGCUCUUUUACCAGGGAUGAUAAUGACAGUACCUGGAGAAUAAGCUCCGGCUAACUCCGUGCCAGCAGCCGCGGUAAUACGGAGGGAGCUAGCGUUGUUCGGAAUUACUGGGCGUAAAGCGCACGUAGGCGGUUACUCAAGUCAGAGGUGAAAGCCCGGGGCUCAACCCCGGAACUGCCUUUGAAACUAGGUAACUAGAAUCCUGGAGAGGUGAGUGGAAUUCCGAGUGUAGAGGUGAAAUUCGUAGAUAUUCGGAAGAACACCAGUGGCGAAGGCGGCUCACUGGACAGGUAUUGACGCUGAGGUGCGAAAGCGUGGGGAGCAAACA
rnacentral:rRNA from 1 species